CUUAUAGAAAACCCUAAUCUCCCACUCUUCUUCGCCGUUUCAUCUAAUUGGAACCUAUAGAAAACCUAAUCUCCUGCUCUUCUUCGCCGUUUCAUCUAAAUAAUCACAACGAAUCACUCCCAGGUAUGAUGUAUCACCUCUGUUCUUCAAUCGAUUAUACGAUUUCUUGAUUUUUUCUUUUGUGCGCCGAUCUAUAUUGCGGGUAUACAAAAUGACAAAAAAAUGCAAAAUGUUCCACCAUUUACCAAACCAUCUUUGUCAAAGAGUUGGUUGUUAUAAUCAAAGUGACAGAAGACUAAUCAAAUGGUGGCUGCUUCUUGAUGAAGGUUGAUGGCUAUACAAAACCAGAAGCAAGAUGAAUACUGCCCACCAUAAUAAUAGCUGACCUCACUUCUCUUAUCUUCUACUCAACCACUAAACUGUACUUGCAGGCAGGCAGCCAUUAAUUAGGGUUUGAUUAAGGAUGGAAGAUGGUCUUCCUCCUUGGUCCAGGUUCCAUCCAACUGAUGAAGAACUCAUCACUUUUUAUCUCUGUUAGAAGGUUUCUGAUUCAUCUUUUCCUGCUAAAGCAAUUGCUGAGGUUGAUCUCAAUAAACGUGAACCUUGGGACCUCCCAGGUUUUAAUUUGAGCGGGCUACAAGUCUUCAAAGGGGAUUGGGAACUACACACACGAUUUGAGGUUUUGGGUUUCAAUCCAAUCCGUAUAAUUCUUCUCAAUAUCUCUCUGAUCCUUCCAUUUUUUUAGAUAGGCAUGAAAAAAACAAAGCAACAGUCUGUUGGUGACUUGGUUUUAAAAAGCGAGAAGCACACCAAGUCAACAUGGUCUAAAACGCCAGGCGCAACCGCGCAAGAGUGUCAACUACCGAGACAACGCAGUCCAUGGCCAAACUGUAUUUGCAAAAGUUGCUUUCAUCAUUUCAAAGUCUUUACUGAUCUCUAUUGUUGUCACUCAUGGUUGGGAUCCUCGAAUGCACAAUGGGGCUCUUGAGGACCAUAGAGUGGCAUCUAAAAGGAAUCUCGAUAUAAAGGGACAUUGAUUCGCGAGCGGUAGUGGUUAUAUAGGUGUAUGUAGCACUUUUUAAACGGAGGGACUCAGACUAAAAAGACCUACGAUCUAAGCUUAAGGGAUAAUGCUGAAACGCAGUGAUUGCAGUGAUGCUUCUUUUAAUGUAGCUAUGAAGCAACAUGGAGAAGAGUCACUUCCUCCCAUUUAUUUGAUAUUUGAUUGUUGAAAAUCAUUUGGAAUGCCUAUUUGAAGUAUAUGAAUAUGUCACAACUCAAGUAAACAUAGCAAUUGAGGACGUUGACUACUCUGGUUCAACUGAUCAAGUGUUUAAAGUCUAUAAAGAAUCAUGCUUUUAUAGCUUCUGAGUACCCUGUUGUGAUUACUCUUAAAGACCACCUUACUAGUGAUCUUCAGUCUAAAGCGGCUUCGAUGGUUACUGAAACGUUUGGAGACAUGUUGUUUACUCUUGAUGCAACAAGUUUUGGGGAAUUCCAGGGACCGGUUUGAAAAGAAGGAUUAUUGUAUCUACUGAACCUCCUAAGGAGUUUCUUAAAGUAAAAUAAAGUAAGAUAAGUGGAAGUGGUUUAUAGAAAGAGAACAAUUCAUCAGAAGCCUAGGGUGGUGAAAUUCGCACCUAUAGAUCAAGGAGAGCGACUGAUUUUAAGGAUGAUUUGGAGGAAGAAGAGGAUGAACUUCAAGAUGACAGUUGUGCCUCUGAAUACAACAAUUUAAUUGCUAUUCAUGUUGGGAAGAGGAUAGGUGGUUUAGACGAUUGGCUGAGAGUUGACCUUGAUAAAUUGUCGAUUUGUAUCACACAAUUCCUACGUCUUAGUUUAAGUGAGCAAUAGCUUGAGAAAGCAGCAAGAACUCAUCGGCCACAUAUUGUCAGAUAUUGUCUAAUUUUUCACAGACAUUUUAUUUUUAUUCAUAAAGAAGAUAUGCGAUGAAUUGGCUUGCUUUAGAUUCACUCAAAGGAAUAUUCUGAUAGUGUAUCUGAAGGGGAUAUAGUUCGAGUCAUCUAAUUACAACCCAUUGAUUGGGUGGAUGCAUGGAGCUCAGAAGGUGGCAUUUAAUAUGCAGGCCCGAUUGUACUUCCCGCUAUUUACUUUGUGGACCAAAGUUGUCAAAGGAAAUUGUCGAAAGCUUUGAGCAUCAUUAUCUAUAUGAGCUAAGGAGCAUUCAGGAUCGGCUUCGGAAUGAGAUCCAUAGCUUCAAGAGACCGAGAAUGUGGAAGAAGAGGUUGUAAAGGAGAUGAUGACGAUGAUAAAGAACACCAGGACAAAGAUGAUGAAAUUUGUAACAGAAGAAAAGGGAAAUAUUGUUCCUAGAGCUUGUAAAGACGCAUUUUGGAACAUGUGUAACGUGUUGAAUCUUUUUUAUGCAACAAAUGAACUAGAGACGCGAUUCUUGGUAUUGUGAAGGACGUCAUAUAUGAGCCGGUAAUUUGAAUGGAAGUGAAUGCACAACUGUAAAAUGUGUUUGUAAGAAUACUGUUGUAUGUCAAGGUAGUAGAUAAAUACAAAGCAAGAGUGGAAGUCUUUUGCUUUUCAUUGUUAGAGUGACUUAUUAUGUGAGAUUUUGAUUUCAGUUUUCAACUCUGAAUCAUCAGAUUAAAGUUUAUAAUAGUGCACAGUUCUUAGUC